rnacentral:rRNA from 1 species
UAGGGAAUCUUCGGCAAUGGGGGCAACCCUGACCGAGCAACGCCGCGUGAGUGAAGAAGGUUUUCGGAUCGUAAAGCUCUGUUGUAAGAGAAGAACGUGUGUGAGAGUCGAAAGUUCACACAGUGACGGUAACUUACCAGAAAGGGACGGCUAACUACGUGCCAGCAGCCGCGGUAAUACGUAGGUCCCGAGCGUUGUCCGGAUUUAUUGGGCGUAAAGCGAGCGCAGGCGGUUUAAUAAGUCUGAAGUUAAAGGCAGUGGCUUAACCAUUGUUCGCUUUGGAAACUGUUAAACUUGAGUGCAGAAGGGGAGAGUGGAAUUCCAUGUGUAGCGGUGAAAUGCGUAGAUAUAUGGAGGAACACCGGUGGCGAAAGCGGCUCUCUGGUCUGUAACUGACGCUGAGGCUCGAAAGCGUGGGGAGCAAACAGG